rnacentral:rRNA from 1 species
UACGAAGGGUGCAAGCGUUAAUCGGAAUUACUGGGCGUAAAGCGCGCGUAGGUGGUUCGUUAAGUUGGAUGUGAAAGCCCCGGGCUCAACCUGGGAACUGCAUCCAAAACUGGCGAGCUAGAGUAUGGCAGAGGGUGGUGGAAUUUCCUGUGUAGCGGUGAAAUGCGUAGAUAUAGGAAGGAACACCAGUGGCGAAGGCGACCACCUGGGCUAAUACUGACACUGAGAUGCGAAGGCGUGGGGGGCAAACCGGGUCAGAUAGCCGGGUAGUCC